CAUAGGGAGACAACUCUGAGCCUCGAACGAAACAGCUUUGGGAGCUACAUCCGUGGGAGAGAACAGCUUCUGGCCUUCCCUUCCCUGACCACCGAGCCCCAGCCAGAGGAGCCAGAGAGCUAGCUGCGGGCAUCCUGCCGGCCACAUUUGCUUUGUCCAAACUGGAGAUCUUUUCGACAUCUUUUUGGUCACGUAUUAUGUGGUAGAUUAAAGAUGGCCACAAAUUCUUUGACAAACUACUAACUGCGACGUGGGGGCUGCACCUCUGUCCCUGCAAUCUUAGCCCCAGCUGACCAUGACAGCUGGCACCAACUUGGCCAGGUGGGAGAGCCGUCGUGGAAAUGGGCCUUUCAGACCUAAGUGAGCCGCUUCAGCCAAUGCUUAGUGGGAAGACAGACUACCCAGAGGAGAUACUCUGAGACUCAACACAAUGUCACUGAAUAAUCUCCAAUACAGCCAACAGUUGGAGAAAUACAGCAUGUACACACAGCCCAUGGUCCAACAGGAGACAGUCAACCUCACGUUCAGGACAUUCAAGUCUGACCCACACUGUGACACCAGAGGGGUACCUUCUUUAAAGCAGAAGAACGGUUGGUUACAAGCACUACGAACAAGCACGGCCAGCUUCUCUCCAGACGUUGCACCGGUUCACAGUUUCUCCUAGAGCCCAUUUCCCGGCACCUUCAACAAUACUCAUUUUGACAAUUUAAUAAAAAGUUUGUGCUCUAAAUAUACAUAUGAUAUGCAUUUUGUGUAUUAAAGUUACCCUUUGAUUUUUA